GGCUCCAUGGUGUAAUGGAUAGCACUCUGGACUCUGAAUCCAGUGAUCUGAGUUCAAAUCUCGGUGGAACCU